UACGUAGGGUGCAAGCGUUGUCCGGAAUUAUUGGGCGUAAAGAGCUCGUAGGCGGUCUGUCGCGUCUGCUGUGAAAACUCGGGGCUUAACCCCGGGCCUGCAGUGGGUACGGGCAGACUAGAGUCCGGAAGAGGCGAGUGGAAUUCCCGGUGUAGCGGUGAAAUGCGCAGAUAUCGGGAGGAACACCAAUGGCGAAGGCAGCUCGCUGGGACGGUACUGACGCUGAGGCGCGAAAGCGUGGGGAGCGAACAGG
rnacentral:rRNA from 1 species